CAUACUAGAUAUAUAACAUAGUACUUGAGUUUGUCGUGGAGUGUAAGCAGCGGUUAUAUGACCAGACUGCAAGACAACAAAUAGAGCAUUGUGUCAAGUCGCACUCGAUAAAUGCAUUCAAAAUUGUAAUUAUGAAUGAGUAACUAUUUGCAUUCGGGAGAAUUGUGUUUUUAUGAUUCGCUCAGAAAAAGCUUUCGUUGAAUUGAUGCAGUGUGGUGAAAGCAAAUUAUUGCAUAAUUUGAGGCGCCAUUAAUUAAAAGCUUAUUUGUGUUGGUUUCUAUGGCAAAUUAAAAAAAAUUUAGAUUUUGAAAUAUUCAAAUGUGGUGAACUAUUUAAACGCUUGUCGUCUCCAACUCAUUUCACUGUAUUUUGGAUUUGGGCUCCAUGUUUAUUCAUCUUCUGAGUCCCUUCUGGAUCAGUUUGUAAUUUAAUGGAAAAAAGGUCAAAGAAGGUUAUUGAAACGGUGGUAAAAUCCCCCUACAGCUAAUUUUGCCACGGCAAAUUUUCGAAAGUCACUACAUCUCGUGAUCCAUACUUAGAAAAAAAUGUCAAGGAAAACUAUAGGGUUGAGCACCUUACGCCAAUCUUAGAGUCGAGAGAGGAGGAGAGUCAAUUACGUACUCGGUCCAAAAUAGCACCUGUUGGCAAGAGUGAUUGUACAUUUGAUUUCAAGGAUGAUAUUAUUGGGUUGUUGAUACUGGUUCCAAAAUAGACGAAACUUCAAAGUUAUGACUGUCAACUGUAACGUGAGAGCCAAAACAGAAUAUACAUAUUUCGUCUUCUCCUCGGCACAACCAGUGCCGAAAGUUUGGAGUAAAGCAGAACUUAAAUUUAGAAAAAGCAGAACUUAACGGCGGUGGAUAGAGACCAAUGAUAUCAUAUCAUGGCCCGUUAUAGAUUUCAAAGUUAAAUCCACACUUAUAAGAAAUAAGAUAAUCAAAAUGGCAUAUCAACUGCCCCAAGUGAAAGGGAAAUACAAUAGGUUGCAUAAUCGUCAAAUUCAUAAAGCUGCAAUGACAUUAGUGUCACCGCUCCAAUACUGAAACUACUUAGUUGUCUUUCAAAAAUCCUGAAGAAUAAAGCGAAUAUAAAUGAUAAAGGUUCACCAUCCUUUGAUAUGCUUUUAAAACAACUCGAGUCAAGAUCGCCUAUGAAGAACAUUGAAACAGAUGCAAAACGUAAGCAAAUCACAAUUCUUUCAUUAGACAAAGGAAUGCAGUCACUUUUGAGAAAUACACCAACAUUCAUCCAUCGCGUUGCAAUGAUAUUCAACGAUGAUCUUCAUCAGCUCAAAAAAACUCAGUACGACUAUGCAGCCGGUUUUAUAUUGAUCCAAGAAUGCAUAUAUGCUUAAGAUUUCAGUUACAGAGAAUUAUAAAAUACGUUCAAUGAGAAUUACACCAUCGCGAUCAUAAAAAUAAAGAAUAAUACGAACUCCUCCUUGACUAAUCCAUUAGCUUUUGAACAAAAUACUACUAUUUUCAUCGGAUGGAGUCGACAGUCCUCCAGCUGAUGAAAUAAAGAAGUAUAAUACUGAAAUAUUUAAAUGAGAGAGUAAAUAUAAAAGUCUAAAUAUAUUCGGAUUAUAGAAAUCUAUUCCUCUUUACCUUAAUGCAGUAAAUCGGAAAUCCUUUUAAGACUUUACAAAAAUAUAUAGACCUUGCCUUCACUUCAUUCAAAUACUUGCUUGUACAGCAAUCCAACUAAUCUUCUCAACCACCACUACAACGAAGCCAACUUGUUUACAUAAACACAGAAGGCGGUUAGUAGCAACCAGUAGACGCAUGAAUGCGCACUGCGAUAAUCCUUUCAAAGCCGAAAAACUGCAUUUAACGCAGUAAUAAUUCAACACCAGACGCCAUUCAUCAUCACGUCAUACCGCUUGCCCCCAUCUCCCGCCGCACUGCACUCCAAUGCUGGCUGAACCUGCCAUUGUUAGUAGCCAUCUGCUCCACUCAGUUGCCCAAGCAGACGCAAUGCUCGCUCGGACAAAUGCCGAGCUUAAACUUUGCGCUUAGAUAAAUGAUAGAAUGGCUCAGCUUGAAUGUGUUUGGUCAUGUUGCAAGGGAAUCCACUACCGAAGCGUAUGAAUGCAUGAAUGUGUGUGUGUGUGUGCGGAGAAAAUUUCAACUGCAUUGCGGAGUAAGGUUGAGAAUCAUGAAAAGCACCAUGACAGCAACAACAACUACGUUAAAGACAUUAAUUUGAUGUUCGAAUAAAUGAGUGAAAUAUUCGCAAUUCACUGGAAAGUAGGUCAGGUAAUGCUAAUAAAGUCUUACAAAUGUUUUCAGACUGCAUUCAGGAUAUUAAAUUUAAAAUUACUUCAUAGAAGGCAAACUGACUGAAUCAAUUCUUUAAAUUUCUACAAUUUAUCACCAUCGUCAGAGGAAAUUGUGAUAUUAAUGGUAUUAAAAUUAUGGUUGCUUACAGCUUUUCUGUACUUUUCUUCACAGCAACAAAGUGUUUCAAAGUCAUUUCUUAACGGGAGAACUCGGUCUCCUUUAAAGUAUUUCUAGGUUUUUAUGAUAAGCUUCUUUAAAUUCGAAUUAUUCUACUGAAAUCUGAAUAUCUGAUGAACUCUAUAAGAAAUAACUUCAGAAGGGCUUAUAUAUACAAAUUUGUUUUAAAAGUUAUACAUUUGGGGUCAAUAGGGAGAUCAGACCUCAACCCCAUCUACAUCCCUAAUGACGCCGUUUUGAGCUCAUCAGUUCAUUCAACUUUUAAUUAAAAAAGAUAAAAAAAUCAAUAAACCAAAAACAUUUCGAUAAAUAAAAUUGUACUUUUUAAUAAACCAAAAAAUACCAAAUUUUGAAAUAUUGAAACCCACCUAGCUCCUUAAAGGUUAGGUUCUUGUGUUAAGCUUCGUUAGGUUCGAAAUACUUAUGAAACCUACAUAAACACCCCUAUUCUGGGAACUUUAUAAAUUCGACAUGUUUCUUAUUUGUCAAAAUUUGAAAUGAUCAAGCAAUUCGUAUUCUGUGUCUAAAAUCUAAUCACUUCUCUUGAUAUUAUAAAUUGUUAAGAAGCCAAAUCCUCUGUACAAAUAAAUUAUCCGGAUAUGAAUAGUUGUGACAGAGAAAUUUUUGCAAUGAAAAAUAUUUUUUUACAAAGAGUAAAUUUGUGAGCAUUUUUAUUUGCAAUUUUUAAUAUUAUAUUAUGUAUCAAACGGCAUCUCAAACUCACUGCGCAGCCGAAACAAUUGGAUUUCGGCGACGACAAAAAACAAGCUGGUACGAUGAGGAAUGCCGUCUCGCAGCGGAGAGAAAACAGACUGCCUACCUCGCAACGUUGCAAACAACCACAACACGUGCGGGCUGGGAUAGAUACCGAGAGCUGAAGAGGGAAGCGAGACGCAUCUGCAGACAAAAAAAGAAAGAGGCCGAAAUGCGUGAGUACGAAGAGCUUGAGAAGCUGGCAGACAGAGGUAAUGCUCGAAAAUUUUACGAAAAAAUGAAGCGACUUAACGAAGGUUUCAAGACCGGAGCAUCCUCAUGUAGAGACCAAGGUAACCGAUGUCCAGAGCAUAUUGGGAUUAUGGAGGGAACACUUCUCCGACCUGCUGAAUGGCAGUGAAAGUGCAACGCCAGGAGAUGGCGAACCCGAUUCCCCAAUCGAUGACGAUGGAAUAGAUAUUCCAUUACCCGACCAUGAAGAAAUUCGAAUAGCAAUUACCAGCUUGAAGAACAACAAAGCGGCAGGGGCCGAUAGAUUAACGGCUGAGCUUAUUAAAUACGGCGGCGAAGAACUGAUAAGGUGCAUGCAUCAGCUUCUUUGCAAAAUAUGUUCCGAAGAAAGCAUGCCCGACGAUUGGAAUCUCAGUGUGCUCUGCCCAAUUCAUAAAAAGGGAGAUCCCACAAGUUAUGCCAAUUACCGUGGGAUAAGCCUCCUAAAUAUCGCCUAUAAGGUUCUAUCGAGCGUACUGUGUGAAAACUAGAGCCCACCGUCAACAAACUGAUUGGACCUUAUCAGUGUUGCUUUAGACCUGGAAAAUCGACAACUGACCAGAUAUUCACCAUGCGCCAAACUUUGGAGAAGACCCGUGAAAAGAGGAUCGACACACACCAUAUUUUUGUCGAUUUUAAAGCUGCUUUCGACAGCACGAAAAGGAGCUGUCUUUAUGCCGCGAUGUCUGAAUUUGGUAUCCCCGCAAAACUAAUACGGCUAUGUAAGCUGACGUUGAGCAACACCAAAAGCUCCGUCAGGAUCGGGAAGGACCUCUCCGAGCCGUUCGAUACCAAACGAAGUUUCAGACAAGGUGACUCACUAUCGUGCGAUUUCUUUAACUUUAUGUUGGAAAAAAUAAUACGAGCUGCAGAGCUAAAUAGAGAAGGUAUAAUCUUCUACAAGAGUGUACAGCUCCUGGCGUACGCCGAUGAUAUUGAUAUCAUCGGAAGUAACAACCGCGCCGUUUUUUCUGCUUUUUCCCGCAUGGAUAAGGAGGCGAAGCGAAUGGGUCUGGAGGUGAAUGAGGACAAGACGAAAUAUCUCCUGUCAUCAAGCAAACAGUCAGCGCACUCGCGUCUUGGCUCCCACGUCACUGUUGACAGUCAUAACUUCGAAGUCGUAGAUAAUUUCGUAUACCUGGGAGCCAGUAUCAACAACACCAACAAUGUCAGCCUCGAUAUUCAGCGCAGAAUCACUCUUGCCAACAGGUGCUACUUUGGACUGAGUAGGCAAUUGAACAGUAAAGUCCUCUCUCGACGAACCAAAAUCAAACUCUACAAGUCGCUUAUCAUUCCCGUCCUGCUUUAUGGAGCAGAAGCUUGGACGAUGUCAACAUCCGAUGAGACGACACUAGGAGUUUUCGAGAGGAAAAUUUUGCGCAAGAUUUAUGGUCCUCAGAACAUUGGCAACGGCGAAUACCGCAGACGAUGGAACGAUUAGCUGUAUGAGUUAUACGACGACAUUGACAAAGUUCAGCGAAUAAAAAGACAGCGGCUACGCUGGAUAGGUCAUGUUGUCCGAAUGGACGAAAACACUCCAGCCCUGAAAGUGUUCGAUGCAGUACCCGCCGGAGGAAGCCGAGGAAGGGGAGGGCCUCCACUCCGUUGGAGGGGCCAGGCGGAGGGCGACCUGGUUACACUUGGAAUCUCCAACUGGCGCCGAACUGCGAAGAUAAGAGAAGAGUGGCGCGCUCUCAUCGAUUCGGCUAUAACCGGCUAAACGGUUGAACGCCAAUAACAUGCAUACAUUAUGUAUAAUAAAUUAAGAUAAGGAAGGUAACUGUGUCGAAAUUGUUUUCCAUAUAUUGCAUACGAUUAUAAUUUAGCAAAUUUUUGGCAAUAAAUGACAAAGUUUAGAUAUUCAUAGUUCCCAAGGAACUUUUCUGAAGCUAAACAUAACAACCCACUAAAUUAAAAUUACAUUCCAAAUAGUUUUAAAUAUAUUAUAAAGGACAUAUAUGUAUUAUAUUGUGAAGUAUUCUAUGGCUGUGCGGGGGAGCAAAAGACUCCGGGGGAUGUGGAAUCGAAAAGCGAAUAUAUAGUCCCUGCCAUCUCGUUAUCAACCUAAUCUACGCGCGGCACUCCCUGUUUGGUUAGGGAGAUUAACGAGGCUCUGGCGACCGAGUAAAGGCGGAAUAACCGUGUCAUCUAUAUAAACCAAACCAAAUAAUUUGCAUCAGGUCUGAAAGGAUUCAGUCGAUAUCUCGACAUCAGAAUCGGAUAGAAAGGCUGAUAACUCUUUGGUCAAUCGUAAACCAAACUUAUCAACGAAGCCACAAUGAAGAAGGCUCGGUUAAAACAAACACUCAUCCAAAAACGACCUUUUUCGUGAAAAAUAGGGCUAGAUUCGGAGCAUGGAAUAUUUGUGCACUCUCAGAAACGUCUAGACCAAAAGCAAAGGAUUUAUUGUGAAAUUGAAGUUAAAUUAUUAGCUAUUUUGCAACAAAUAUUGAAAUGUAUUGAAAAUGAAAUGACAACCCUUCUGCGUUAGCAAAACAAAAAUGUUUUUUUCGAAAUAUCUUGAAGAAAUUGCUCAAAAUCUUGUAUAUAGUAGCAGAUUUUACCAAUACAAGGGGUAGGCAAUACUGUUUCAUUUAUAUUUGUUUUUUUUUUUUUAAUUUUUUUUAUUGACAUUUGAUUUUUGCAUUGCGCAAACGGAAAAAUUGUUUGAUAAAAUGAAAUGUUUUAGUAAAAAUCUUUUAGCCGCUUCGGUAUUAUUCUUAUUCAAUUGCAUAUAUCGAGAUGCUCAUCUCUUUAUUUGACUAAAUUAAUUUAAAACAUGUCCGAUUCCAGAAAAACUAAUAAAACUAAUCAAUAGUCCAAAGAUAUUCCAGUCGAUGGUCCAGGAUGGACUCUGACAAUGACCAAUGUGACAGCGAGUUAAUUUCAAAUAGAAGGCAGAAAACUUAUGAUACAAUUAUAAGAAAGUUAAAAGGGCAUAUUAUAGCAAGAACGUGUUUAAAAAUAGUGUUUGUACAUCUUUGUUUUCACAAUUGUUUAUUUCAUAGAAGGAAAUUGGGACUAUAUCCUACACUCUAUCUGUUUUUGUAACUCUCUCGAUGAAAGAUUAUGUAAUCAAUCAAUGUUAUUUAUCCAUUGUUAGAAUCUUCCUAGCGCUUCAAUUGAAGCGAAAGCAUAAUAGUAGGUCAACUUCUGCCAGACUAAUCUGUUCGUAGGUGUCUGAUGAUUUAUUAUAAAUUGUUAAUACUAAUUUCCGAAAAUAAAAUUAAAUGUUUGUUUCAUAGAGAACAAUUUUAAAUAUUAUAUUUUCUUUGACUAUUAAUAUUAAAUAGAUAUUAAUUCUCUGCACUGGACGUGUCUUACCUAUACAAAAAAUAAAAAUUCAAACCAUUAUUAGAAGAAAAUCGGACAUAUUUUCAUGCUACUUAUUAAUUUUGAAUCGAGAAUAGUAGUAUAUUUUACACUACGUAAUAUAUAUUUUUAACUACGUUCACAAAAAAACUAAUCAUUUUUUCCCUUUUUCCUUCCCUUCGCAAAUACAACCUUUUGUAACGCAGCGUCAAGUCUUAGCUGUGACUACUUACCAAACCUUUUAUAAUUGAAUCAUGUUUGAAAACUUACGUUAAAAAAUAAUUUAAUUCGAAUAUAAUUGGACAGAAUCAGCUGUUUCUGUUUACAUUAUUUUGUUUCCCACCCGUGUGGGGAAAAGCUUUUUAUUUUAUAACAAGUAAGGAAAAUCUAAGUUCGGGUGCAACCGAACAUUUUAUACUCUCGCAAUUUAUUGAAGAAAUUUUAUUAAGAUAACAUACAAAUUAACCCAUAAAUCGUCAUAUAUAGUAUAUGAGGGCUGAGAUAAUUCCUGAACCGAUUUCAUUCAUUUUCAUCAGCACUCACUCACUUAAUUUUGCUCAGAUAGCUCACAUAUUAACCAAUACAUAUAUGCGGAAUAAAGCUCACCGUAUUUUUGAAAAACCUACAAUGAGGUAUGCAGAUGUUAUGACCCGAUUUUAAUAAUUUUUGGAAAAGAGACACACUAUUAGAAGAAAACAAUUUCCUCCGAAUUAAAUUGAGAUAUCUGAGAGAUUUACCCAUAUUUUCGGUUAAAAUUUAUCCUUAGGCGCUGAGUUCAACAUGUUCGAUAUCUGGGGCAUUGAAAAGUUAUGAUCCGUUUUCGACAAUUUUUUUCGCAACUGAGAUAUGGUUUUUCACCCAUAAGUGGGCGAUGCCACGCCCAUUUUCCAUUUUGUAAAAAAAUCUGAGUACAGCUCCCUUCUGCUAUUUCUUCUGCAAAAUUUAGUGUUUCUGACGUUUUUCGUUAGUUAGUUAACCCACUUUUAGUAAUUUUCAACCUAACCUUUGUAUGGGAGGUGGGCGUGGUUAUUAUCCGAUUUCAACUAUUCUCAUGGUGUGUGGUGGGGUACAUAAGAGAACCGACUGCAGAAAGUUUGGUUUAUAUAGCUUUAUUGGUUUGCGAGUUAAAUACAAAUAACCGAUUUGUGGGCGGGACCACGCCCGCUUCCCCAAAAAAAUUACAUCCAAAUAUGCCCCCUCCUAGUGUGAUCCUUUGUUCCAAAUUUUACUUUUAUAACUUCAUUUAUGGCUUAGUUAUGACCCUUUAUGUGUUUUUGGUUUUCGCCAUUUUGUGGCCAUUUUGGGCGUGGCAAUGGUCCGAUUCUGCCCAUUUUCGAACUUGAUCUUCUUAUGGUGCCAAGGAAUAUUUGUGCCAAGUUUCGUCAAGAUAUCUUAAUUUUUACUCAAGUUACAGCUUGCACAGACGGACGGACGGACAGACAUCCGGAUUUCAAAUCUACUCGUCACCCUGAUCACUUUGGUAUAUAUGACUCUAUAUCUAACUCGUUUAGUUUUGGGUGUUACAAACAACCGUUAUGUGAACAAAACUAUAAUACUCUCUAGCAACUUUGUUGUUGCGAGAGUAUAAAAAUUGUCACAGAAUACCAAAAAAUUACUUACUUGAUAAAAAUCUGAAAAAAAUUUCAAUUUUUUUGUUAUUUUGUAAAGUGCACAGAAUAGGGCUGUAAAUUCAAUUGUUUAAUUCAAUUCGAAUAUAAUAGGCUGUUUUUUUUAUUUUUAAGAUGUCAAAUGCUUUUGACAAUGCUUCAUAUUCUUGUAAAAAUUAAUUUGUAGCAAUGGAAGAUAUUUUACUUUUGUUAUUAUUGUUAAACGAAGAUGGAAAUUGUGAAAAUAGGGAUCGCGAGCGGAUCCAUCUUCGUCGAUCGAGAAUACCUUUGUGCAAAAUUUUCGAAUAACGCGUGAAAUUUCCCGUCACCAAAUUGAUGAACUGGCCCCAUACGAUAAUCAGAAAACGUCACUACCUUCGGCUGUGAGGGUUCAGGCAGAUUUGAACUUCUUUAGACACAGCUCAUACCAGAAAUGUGUAGGCCACAAUGUCAACUUUUCCAUGAAUCAGUCGUCGCUUUCGAGAAGUGUGCGGACUGUAGCAAAACGUAGUGCGAAAGUGAAGGGAGGAAAAAUAAAGUUUCCCAGUUCAACAGAGACAGAAACUUUUAUAAAAACGGGAUUUUUUAGAAAAUUUAGGAGCAAUUGACUGCACACAUAUUAUUAUUGUUGCUUCACCAUCAAAUAGUGUUGAACGUCCUCUUAAUUUAUAUUUAAAUAGAAAAUGUAAGGCACUCAAUAUGAAUAGCAUCGGAGAGAAUCUUGGCUUAUUGGCGAUCAAGGUUAUCCUAUAGAGCCGUGGCUUUUAACAUCAUUAACCAUAUAGAGAAAGAAAAAAUAUAACAAAUUACAUGGUUCUGCAAGAAACUGCAUAGAGAGGGCGUUAUACGAAAGUGAAAGAACGAGAUCAAGAAAUAUAUCAACUCUUUAGUUAUUUAUGUAUAUUAGUCAGAAGUCAAUCCAGAAAUAUAAUUAUUCAAUAUAUCAA